UACAGAGGUUGCAAGCGUUAAUCGGAUUUACUGGGCGUAAAGCGUGUGUAGGUGGUUCGACAAGUCGGUUGUGAAAUCCCCGGGCUCAACCUGGGAAUUGCUUCCGAGACUGUCAGACUAGAGAUCGGUAGAGGGCGGUGGAAUUUCCGGUGUAGCGGUGAAAUGCGUAGAUAUCGGAAGGAACACCAAUGGCGAAGGCAGCCGCCUGGGCCUGAUCUGACACUGAGACACGAAAGCGUGGGGAUCAAACAGG
rnacentral:rRNA from 1 species